CCUACGGGGGGCUGCAGUGGGGAAUCUUGCGCAAUGGCCGAAAGGCUGACGCAGCGACGCCGCGUGGAGGAUGACGCCCUUCGGGGUGUAAACUCCUGUUGCCCGGGACGAAUAACUGUUUCGACAGGGGUGACGGUACCGGGUGAGGAAGCACCGGCUAACUCUGUGCCAGCAGCCGCGGUCAUACAGAGGGUGCGAGCGGUGUCCGGAAGGACUGGGCGUAGAGGGGGUGGAGCGGGCGCGGUGUGCUGAAAGUCCGGGGCUCAACCCCGGAUCGGCCAUGCGAACUGCCGCGCUGGAGCACGGUAGAGGCACAUGGAAUUCCGGGUGUAGCGGUGGAAUGCGUAGAGAUCCGGAAGAACACCGGUGGCGAAGGCGGUGUGCUGGGCCGUUGCUGACACUGAGGCGCGACAGCGUGGGGAGCAAACAGGAUUAGAUACCCUAGUAGUC
rnacentral:rRNA from 1 species